CACAUCGAUAUCGAGAAAUACAGCAGCUUACAUUCCGGCGUCACAAAUCGAGGGUUCCUAAUCCCACAGGCAGAAACCAACGUCGAAUGAUCCGACACCACCACCCGGAUAUUACAAGAGGACACUUUCCCUCCUCGCACGCCACAAACUUGAGUGUUCCUUCCCAAUCCUACUCGAUUCUAGAAGCUGUAACAGAAUCAGAGGCAGAAAGACUCGCCGACACAAAAGUCUUACGCCGAUACUUCUCGUCGUUACACAUCGCAGUCUGCAAAAUCCAACCUAUUUUGCCCGAAGUUCAUCCAUACCAAAGGAUCCUACUUCCAUAGGUGUACCGACACCCACAAAUUCAUCGGCACUACCUAUGCAAAUCCGUGAAAGGAGGUACCUCUACAGAAACGUAACAAAAGCAAAGCUCCUCUUUAAUCCCACCCGCUCAACAAAGAUCCAAGAACUCGGAACGGCG
rnacentral:misc_RNA from 1 species